UAGCGAUGAUCGGAAUCUAGCUACCUGACCUAGCGGCGGACGGGUGAGUAAUGCUUAGGAAUCUGCCUAUUAGUGGGGGACAACAUUCCGAAAGGAAUGCUAAUACCGCAUACGCCCUACGGGGGAAAGCAGGGGAUCUUCGGACCUUGCGCUAAUAGAUGAGCCUAAGUCAGAUUAGCUAGUUGGUGGGGUAAAGGCCUACCAAGGCGACGAUCUGUAGCGGGUCUGAGAGGAUGAUCCGCCACACUGGGACUGAGACACGGCCCAGACUCCUACGGGAGGCAGCAGUGGGGAAUAUUGGACAAUGGGCGAAAGCCUGAUCCAGCCAUGCCGCGUGUGUGAAGAAGGCCUUUUGGUUGUAAAGCACUUUAAGCGAGGAGGAGGCUACUGGGAUUAAUACUCUUGGAUAGUGGACGUUACUCGCAGAAUAAGCACCGGCUAACUCUGUGCCAGCAGCCGCGGUAAUACAGAGGGUGCGAGCGUUAAUCGGAUUUACUGGGCGUAAAGCGUGCGUAGGCGGCUUCUUAAGUCGGAUGUGAAAUCCCUGAGCUUAACUUAGGAAUUGCAUUCGAUACUGGGAAGCUAGAGUAUGGGAGAGGAUGGUAGAAUUCCAGGUGUAGCGGUGAAAUGCGUAGAGAUCUGGAGGAAUACCGAUGGCGAAGGCAGCCAUCUGGCCUAAUACUGACGCUGAGGUACGAAAGCAUGGGGAGCAAACAGGAUUAGAUACCCUGGUAGUCCAUGCCGUAAACGAUGUCUACUAGCCGUUGGGGCCUUUGAGGCUUUAGUGGCGCAGCUAACGCGAUAAGUAGACCGCCUGGGGAGUACGGUCGCAAGACUAAAACUCAAUGAAUUGACGGGGGCCCGCACAAGCGGUGGAGCAUGUGGUUUAAUUCGAUGCAACGCGAAGAACCUUACCUGGUCUUGACAUAGUAAGAACUUUCCAGAGAUGGAUUGGUGCCUUCGGGAACUUACAUACAGGUGCUGCAUGCUGUCGUCAGCUCGUGUCGUGAAAUGUUGGUUAAGUCCCCGCCACGAGCGCAACCCUUUUCUCUUAUUUGCCAGCGGGUUAAGCC
rnacentral:rRNA from 1 species